UCUAGAGCUAAUACAUGCGAAAAAAGCUUGUAGGGGUGAGUAAUCAACCUUGCAGGUGAUGCAUUUAUUAGAUUAAGCCAAUCAAUGUUUGGAACAGUUAAUAGCUGUUUCAACGUUGCUGUGGUGAGUCUGGAUAACUGUGCCGAUCGUAUGGCCUAGAGCCGGCGACAUUUCGAUUAAAUUUCUGCCCUAUCAACUUGUUGGUAAGGUAGUGGCUUACCAAGGUGAUAACGGGUAACGGGGAAUCAGGGUUCGAUUCCGGAGAGGGAGCCUGAGAAAUGGCUACCACAUCCAAGGACGGCAGCAGGCGCGCAAAUUACCCAAUCCAGACACUGGGAGGUGGUGACGAGAAAUACCAGGUCGGUCCCAAAAGGAUUCGACACUGGAAUGAGUUCAAUUUAAGAAUUUGAAUGAGUAGCAACUGGAGGGCAAGUCUGGUGCCAGCAGCCGCGGUAAUUCCAGCUCCAGUAGUGUAUCCAAACGUUGCUGCGGUUAAAACGCUCGUAGUUGGACAAUAGAGUAAUUUAGUGCGGGCGGGAGAUGUAAUUGCUCCAUGUAACUGACUAUUAUGAGUAGUAUAAAGUGGGAAGAAUGAGAUGGGUGGUAAAAGUAAGAUGGCUAUGAUGAAAGUUGUGGUUGUUUUAUUUUUAUUGCUCAUUUUGUUGUUUCAUUUCUUUUGCUUAUUUGUAAUAGUAAAUAGUGCAUGGUAGUAGCAUCUGUCGACCAUGCAGCUAAGUUACUUGUAAUGUUUCGUGAGAAUAGUACAUGAUCUUAAUUGUAUUGUGUACCAUGUCUUACGUAGUGUGCCUUGAAUAAAUCAGAGUGCUCAAAGCAAGCUAAUUGCUUGAAUGUUAAUAGCAUGGAACGAAUGUUUAGUGGAAGUGUAUUAAUGUGCACCUAUGAGUACUUGUGCUUGUAGGCGCGUGUUGAUACACAGCACCAACCACGAAGCGGAACAUUGGUUACCGACUUCGGGUGAGGAUUAAGAGGGGCAUUUGGGGGCAUUAGUAUUUGGCCGCGAGAGGUGAAAUUCUUGGACCGGCCAAGGACUAACAAGUGCGAAAGCAUUUGCCAAGUAUGUUCCCUUUAAUCAAGAACGAAAGUGAGAGGUUCGAAGACGAUCAGAUACCGUCCUAGUUCUCACCGUAAACGAUGCCAACCCGGGAUCAGUUCGGAUGAUAAUAUUAUUGGAUCCAGGUUGGUCCCCCUGGGAAACCUUGAGUUCUUAGGUUCCGGGGGGAGUAUGGUUGCAAGGCUGAAACUUAAAGGAAUUGACGGAAGGGCACCACCAGGGGUGGAGCCUGCGGCUUAAUUUGACUCAACACGGGAAAACUCACCUGGUCCGGACAUCGAUAGGAUUGACAGACUAAUAGAUCUUUCAUGAUACGGUGGGUGGUGGUGCAUGGCCGUUCUUAGUUCGUGGAGCGAUCUGUCAGGUUUAUUCCGGUAACGGACGAGAUCACGUUCUCCAUUUAGGGAACUACAAAACAAAUAAUGUUAUUGUUUGUAAAUCACGUUAGUAAUAUUUUUAUGCGUGUUAUGSUUUUGCUUUUGCCCUCGUGGUUAAAAGUUGAAUUGUAAUAUGUGUAUUUGUAUUAUUAAUUGUAGUUUCAAAGRGUAACAUACCUCUUUUUUGUAGUAUGCGUGCAGCAAUGUACGUCCCUAUGGAGAGACAGCCGGAUCGUAAAGCGGAGGAAGCGUGGCAAUAACAGGUCUGUGAUGCCCUUCGAUGUUCAGGGCCGCACGCGCGCUACAAUGAUAACGACAACGAGAAUCUAGACUGAAAAGUUCUGGGCAAUCUUUUGAAUCGUUAUCGUGAUGGGGAUUGAGCAUUGUAAUUAUUGCUCAUGAAAUAGGAAUCCCUUGUAUACGUGUCUCACUUAGGACACGUAGAAUGCGUCUCUGCCCUUUGUACACACCGCCCGUCGCUACUACCGAGUGAAUGGUGUCAUGAUGUCUUGGG
rnacentral:rRNA from 1 species